rnacentral:rRNA from 1 species
AACGAACGCUGGCGGCGUGCUUAACACAUGCAAGUCGAACGCGAACGGCGCCUUCGGGUGCUUAGUAGAGUGGCGCACGGGUGAGUAACGCGUAAGUAAUCUACCUUGGCAUCCGGGAUAACCCACCGAAAGGUGUGCUAAUACUGGAUACGACUGGGAUAAUGACUUUUUUCCAGGGAAAGGCAGCCUCUGAAUGUAAGCUGUCGUGCGAAGAUGAGCUUGCGUACCAUUAGCUAGUUGGUAGGGUAAGGGCCUACCAAGGCGACGAUGGUUAGCGGGUCUGAGAGGAUGAUCCGCCACACUGGAACUGGAACACGGACCAGACUCCUACGGGAGGCAGCAGUGAGGAAUAUUGCGCAAUGGGGGCAACCCUGACGCAGCGACGCCGCGUGGAUGAUGAAGGCCUUCGGGUUGUAAAAUCCUGUCAGAUGGGAAGAAGUGUAGCGUGGUUAAGAGCUGCGCUAUUUGACGGUACCAUCAAAGGAAGCACCGGCUAACUCCGUG